rnacentral:snoRNA from 1 species
UUGCAACCAGUCAAGCCCUUUCCCUAUGGGGGCCCAGUGAGCCAUGGCGGCAGACGGUGGCCUCCUUGGUGUUAUCGGCAGCCUGUUGAUUCUAUAGGUGGCCCUAAGGGACCUUGGAGACAGCC